GACCGUUCAGCUUCCAGGCAGAGAAAUACCAAAGCCCUUUAAACAAACACGUGCAGGACACAGGCACGUCAUCCUGUUCCCAUGUGUGGCUCUGAGCCAGCAGGAGGAAGUCACAGGGAAGUAGACUUUGGCUCUCAGAAGAACUUCAUCCACAGAGCUGUCAAAACCAGAAGGAGCAGCCCGGAGAGAGACUCCCAUCUCCAGAUGCUACUGCACUGAUGGUGGGACAAGUGAAUUUGGGAGGACAUAAACGUUCUGUAAUGCGUGAGAAGAAAGAAGAGUCAGCCAAAUCACAAAGGACUUUGUGGACCAAACAAAGAGCUUGGGAACCAGUUGGGGCCAUCACGUACCCUGAACUCCCUCUCUACAACAGCUCUCCCAAACAAGUCUUAUAAAACCCAGAGAUGACCCAGGUCCAGUGUUUUCUCAUGACAUCUGAAGGACUUCACUUUGGCCUGCAGCUUGUCCACCAAGUCCUGAAGCCGGAGGAUGUUCUUGCGGUCCUCCUCAGCCUGCAGAAAAGAGCAUCCGUAACAGAGACCUCCAGUCCCCGACUCCCUUUGUUGGGCUCUGCUCCAUAUAGCAGCAAUCGAGGGCUUGCAACUCGCUACCUGAUCCAUGAUGGACUCCUGGGACAUUUUCAGGUCUCCUUCCAGCUUCCUCUUCACUCUCUCCAGCCUGCAGGUCAUCCAGCGUAUGCUGAUGGGCCUCCUGGAGAGACUUCUUUUCUUUUGUCAGUUUGGAAAUGGUUUCUUCAAGCGCUGUCAUUUCUUCAGAGAGAUUCUUCACCUAGGAGCAAAUCAAGAGUCACUCAUUUAAUACUGAUACAGUUAGUUUGGCGAUUCCCAGCAGCAAGAACUGUGGGGGCCUCCUGUCUCUCUAGCUUCAUAGCAUUCAGGGACAGGUAGCUUCUUAGUUCUUUUUUUUUAAUUUCUUUUUUAUCAUUUUAAUUUUAUUUCAUCCUGUUUUGGGGAAAGGUCUUUGAACAGUUUUCAGGCUGGUUCCAAACUCCCAGGAUUAAGAGAUCUUGCUUUGGCCUCCUGCGAACUUGAGACGAGGCACAUCACUCUAUGAGCUAGCCUGCCUUGCAGGGUUUUAUGAGACAAGCCCUCACAUGGCCUAAAGUGACAUCAAACUUGAUAUUAGUCAGCCAGGCUGAUCUCAGACUCCCAACCUCCCUGACUCUCCCUUCCAAAUACUGAAAUGCAGGCAUAGGCCACCAUGUUUAGUUGUACGUGGUUCUGGGACCAAACUCCAGGCUAAGUAAAUGUUCCACCGAGUGUUCUACAGCCCAGCCUUCCCACUUCUAGUCUUCCCCUCCUGCCCUCUGGCCUAUCAUGGUGUCUCAGAUUCUUCUGGUAGGAUUGUUCCUUUCAGAACACGCUAUAUUUCACUAGGAAUGACACUAUUAAAAUGCAGAUCCACUGGGUGUGAAGGGCAACACAUCAAUCUGUGUUUACUCAUCAUUCACAUCCAAACAUCUAGCCGGCAAGCUGACGGAGGGUUCAGUAUGAAGCAGGAAGGGGAGGGAGAGGCGCAAGGUGUGAGGCAAGGAAAUCCAGAUGUGCUGACAGGAUAGGACCUGGGCACCAUGCGUGGAGCUUCUGGGCAUUAACUAGAAACUUCAUUGAACAGCAGUCUUCCAGAUGAGAGGUUGCUAACUCCUACCUGUGGCCUAAAUCCAACCACAGAUAUAUUUAAUUUAUAAAUUUUUUGAAAUGUUAUCAGUAUUGGAAAGUAAGAGUCUACACAAAAUCUGGAAUUUUGGCUUCUCAUGGAAGUGCAAACCUCCAGCAGUGGUGGCUUCACAUUCCUACCUGACAGCCGUUUGCUGGCACUGAGUCAUGGCCGCCACCAGUGAGAAGGGCAGGCCUGUGGGUAGUGUCUGUCACAGUCUCCACCCUCCACUCUCCCUUUUGUCUCUUCCCACCACUCUUGUUUAUCCAUCGCUGACUCUGAGUGUCAGCCGUCAAUGUCAUCUCACAGCCAGCAGGCUGCCCCUUUGUCCCGCCUCACGGGUAGCCUUUAUUAGGUGAAUCAUGCCACGCGCUUAAGGAUCCUUGCCAAGCAUAUGCUUUUGUGCUGUGCGCACAGACUUUUCCUGUGUGUAAAUGUCAUCAUACUGCCCGUGUCCCUCACUUACACUUCACCCCAGUGAGAACCGGGUGCUUCAUACUCAUCUUGGUUACCAGAUUCACCCAGCUCUGGUGCCCCAGUGGUGCACUGUGCUCUAUGUGGGACUCUGCCACAGUCUGCCUCUCCAUCCUACGACAUGGUCCCCAGCUCUGUCCCAAGCUGCUGCCAACAUCCCUAUAUAUGCAAGCACCUUUAUGCGUGUUUCCCAAGUCACAAUAGAAGAGUUCCUUGGAUUACAUCCAGAAUCGUGGGUUCAUAGGGUAUGUAAAUUCCUCCCUUCUUUCAUCCCUUCUCUCUCCUCUUCCUUCCUUCCUUUCAUUUUU